GUGUGUGGCCAUUGAACAGAAGCUGGUGGGAGUACCUGGGUUGUUAUCUUUGUGCAGACCUCUUCCUACAGAGAUGGGAGGAAUUAGGAGUGCAGGAGACCAAAGAGAUACCUAGCAUGCUGCACAUCCUGAUUUCUGCUUCUGUUUUCAGGUAGUCUUGCUCUUGCUUCCAGUGGGACCAAAUUUUAAGCCAAGGAUAACAUCUUUCAGCCAUCCCGUGACCCCUUUUUCAUCAUGUGUAUUGGGAAACUUCUGCAGAUUGUCAGCCUCCAUACCUCUAAUGUGCUUAGCUGUCCUCAGUGCCUUUGUGUGUGAUUAAAUAAAUCAGCGUUGUUGUGAAAUAAUAUCCUUCUAAAGCAAGUUACAGUUUUGGAAUGUAGGCUGAACACUCGGAUGCAGCAAGUAAUUCAAGCAACGAAAAUGAGGUCUAAUCUUAG
ensembl:lncRNA